rnacentral:rRNA from 1 species
GUUUGAUCCUGGCUCAGAUUGAACGCUGGCGGCAGGCCUAACACAUGCAAGUCGAGCGGAUGAAGGGAGCUUGCUCCUGGAUUCAGCGGCGGACGGGUGAGUAAUGCCUAGGAAUCUGCCUGGUAGUGGGGGAUAACGUCCGGAAACGGGCGCUAAUACCGCAUACGUCCUGAGGGAGAAAGUGGGGGAUCUUCGGACCUCACGCUAUCAGAUGAGCCUAGGUCGGAUUAGCUAGUUGGUGGGGUAAAGGCCUACCAAGGCGACGAUCCGUAACUGGUCUGAGAGGAUGAUCAGUCACACUGGAACUGAGACACGGUCCAGACUCCUACGGGAGGCAGCAGUGGGGAAUAUUGGACAAUGGGCGAAAGCCUGAUCCAGCCAUGCCGCGUGUGUGAAGAAGGUCUUCGGAUUGUAAAGCACUUUAAGUUGGGAGGAAGGGCAGUAAGUUAAUACCUUGCUGUUUUGACGUUACCAACAGAAUAAGCACCGGCUAACUUCGUGCCAGCAGCCGCGGUAAUACGAAGGGUGCAAGCGUUAAUCGGAAUUACUGGGCGUAAAGCGCGCGUAGGUGGUUCAGCAAGUUGGAUGUGAAAUCCCCGGGCUCAACCUGGGAACUGCAUCCAAAACUACUGAGCUAGAGUACGGUAGAGGGUGGUGGAAUUUCCUGUGUAGCGGUGAAAUGCGUAGAUAUAGGAAGGAACACCAGUGGCGAAGGCGACCACCUGGACUGAUACUGACACUGAGGUGCGAAAGCGUGGGGAGCAAACAGGAUUAGAUACCCUGGUAGUCCACGCCGUAAACGAUGUCGACUAGCCGUUGGGAUCCUUGAGAUCUUAGUGGCGCAGCUAACGCGAUAAGUCGACCGCCUGGGGAGUACGGCCGCAAGGUAAAACUCAAAGGAAUUGACGGU